rnacentral:rRNA from 1 species
GACGAACGCUGGCGGUGUGCCUAACACAUGCAAGUCGAGCGCUGACGGUUGGUACUUUUACUUACUGGAAGAGCAGCGGACGGGUGAGUAACGCAUGGGUAAUCUGCUUUCCAGCGGGGGACAACAAACGCAAACGAAUGCUAAUACCGCAUAAAAACACUCUUCACAAGGCUUAUGUAUGAAAGAUGCAAUUGCUUCACGCGAAGUAGAUACCGCUUUGUAUUCGCUGGUUGUUGGGGUAAAGCCUCACAAACGCGAUGAUACAUAGCCUACCUGAGAGGGUGGUCAGCUACACUGCGACGGAGACGCGGCACAAACUCAUCCGCGAGGCAGCAGUAGGGAAUCGUCGGCAAUGGACGAGAGUCUGACCGGGACACGCCGCGUGAGGGAAGAAGGUUUUCGGAUCGUGAAACUCUGUUGGUAGAGAAGAACGGUGGUGAGAGUGGAAAGCUCAGAAAGUGACGGUAACUACCCAAAAAGGGACGGCUAACUACGUG